rnacentral:rRNA from 1 species
GACAGAGGGUGCAAACGUUGUUCGGAUUUACUGGCGUAAAGCGCGUGUAGGCGGCUUUGCAAGUCGGAUGUGAAAUCCCACGGCUCAACCGUGGAAGUGCAUCCGAAACUGCAUCGCUGGAGUCUCGGAGAGGAAGGUGGAAGUGACUUGGUGUAGAGGUGAAAUUCGUAGAUAUCAAGCAGGAACACCUGCGGCGAAGGCGGCCUUCUGGACGAUGACUGACGCUGAGACGCGAAAGCGUGGGGAGCAAACAGG